rnacentral:lncRNA from 1 species
GAAAUAAAAAAAGUUAUAAAUGGACUUGAAUUAGGGAAAGUUGCUGGCCCUGAUAGAAUUAUAAAUGAAGUUAUAAAAUACUCUAACCCAUUUAUGAUUAAAAAUUAUGUAAAAAUAUUUAAUCUUAUUCUACUAACAGGAAAUACCCUAAAACAUGGAGAAACUCAUUUUUAGUCCCAUUACAUAAAUCUGGAGAUAAAAAUGAUCCCAAUAACUACAGAGGAGUCUCAAUGAUUAAUUGUCUUGCAAAAAUAUUUAAUGCAACUCUAAACAAUAGGCUUACUAAAAUUAUAGAUGAACAAUUAGGUAAGUCAAUUUGGUUUUAGAGAGAACCACAGAACUGCAGAUAGCAUUUUUAUAUUAAAAUCUCUAAUAACUAAGUAUUUACAUAAAAACAAAAAAAUUUUAUGCUUGUUUUGUAGAUUUAAGAAAGGCAUUUGACUCUGUAUGGAGAGAUGCUCUUUUGUACAAACUUUAUAAUAUGGGGGUAGGUAAGAAACUUUUUAACAUUAUAAAACAUCAAUAUGAUGACACUGGGUCUUCAAUUAAAUACAAAAACAUGGUAACUGAUAUGUUUAAUAUUACAAGA